UACAGGGGGUGCGAGCGUUGCUCGGAAUCACUGGGCGUAAAGCGUACGCAGGCGGACCGUUAAGUCGGGUGUGAAAGCCCGGGGCUCAACCCCGGAAUUGCAUUCGAUACUGGCGGUCUUGAGUACGGGAGAGGUGAGUGGAAUUCCUGGUGUAGAGGUGAAAUUCGUAGAUAUCGGGAGGAACACCGGUGGCGAAGGCGGCGACCUGGGUAGAUACUGACGCUGAGGUGCGAAAGCGUGGGGAGCAAACAGG
rnacentral:rRNA from 1 species